rnacentral:rRNA from 1 species
UACGGGAGGAGCAGUGGGGAAUAUUGCACAAUGGGCGCAAGCCUGAUGCAGCCAUGCCGCGUGUAUGAAGAAGGCCUUCGGGUUGUAAAGUACUUUCAGUCGUGAGGAAGGUGUUAAGGUUAAUAACCUUAGCAAUUGACGUUAGCGACAGAAGAAGCACCGGCUAACUCCGUGCCAGCAGCCGCGGUAAUACGGAGGGUGCGAGCGUUAAUCGGAAUUACUGGGCGUAAAGGGCACGCAGGCGGUUAAUUAAGUUGGAUGUGAAAUCCCCGGGCUUAACCUGGGAAUGGCAUUCAAGACUGGUUAGCUAGAGUCUUGUAGAGGGGGUAGAAUUCCAUGCGUAGCGGUGAAAUGCGUAGAGAUGUGGAGGAAAUACCGGUGGCGAAAGGCGGCCCCUGGACAAAGACUGACGCUCAUGUGCGAAAAGCGUGGGGAGCAAAACAGGGAUUAGAUACC